UACGUAGGGUGCGAGCGUUAAUCGGAAUUACUGGGCGUAAAGCGUGCGUAGGCGGUUCGUUAAGUUCGUUGUGAAAGCCCCGGGCUCAACCUGGGAACUGCAAUGGAAACUGGCGGGCUUGAGUGUGGCAGAGGGGGGUGGAAUUCCGCGUGUAGCAGUGAAAUGCGUAGAGAUGCGGAGGAACACCGAUGGCGAAGGCGACACGCUGGGCCAUACCUGACGCUAAAGCGCGACAGCAUGGGGAGCAAACGGG
rnacentral:rRNA from 1 species